rnacentral:lncRNA from 1 species
GAUGGAGAAUUUUCUGAAAUGGUUCCAGGUGCUGGCCCUCUUUCAUUGCAAGUUUCCCACUUCUCAUUUCAAUGGAUGCUAUCAAGGUCUUCUCCAUCUAAGACACACAUACCACAGGAAGUCUCCUCAGUGUCUCCAGAAGAGAUAAGAACACAAAGAACACGUGCAUCUUCCACUCGAACAAGCUGCAGUGAGGACCUGAUAGUCAAAAUUACUUGGAGGAAAAUCACAGCUCUUCUCCCCUAGAAAGUCUGCUGAGUCUCACCAGGAGAAUCUCACAGGGAGGCUGCCACGAAUUCUCUCUGCAAGGACUGUGAAACUCAGGGUCCUGGAACCUGGGGAGAUCGAGGGACAACUGUACAUCAGCCUGCUGAGAAAUGUUUUGCAGGAUUCAUGAUUGGGAUCUUCGUACUAAGCCUUUCUUGAGGGAGUGUCUCAGACUCAACCAGCCUCAAUUUUCCCAUGAAUCCUUCUUCAUUGCCUUCCUAGAUUGCUACUCCGCAUCUCAGCUGACCCCAUACAAACAAACUCCAAUAGUGUCUCCAAUCGCGUGCUGUGUUAAAUUUUAACUUUAUAACCAACCAUCAUUUGCUACUUCCAUCUAACCAAGCCAGUUUCCUUAUGAUGCACACACUUGUGUUUAGCUCACAAUUUGUUCUACAUGCUUGCUUAUUUAUUCAUUCAGCAAGUAUUUAUUGAGCCCCAACUGUGCACUAGCUGCUGUCUCAGGUGCUGGGGAGACAGGAAGAUCAAAAUAAAACCCCUGCCUUCAAGUGCCUUAUUGUUUAAGGGUCAACAGAAUAAACACAUAAGUGAAUAUAUAUCAUGUGAGGUGGUAAAAAGGGCUGGGCAGAAAAUAAAGGUUGGAAAAGGAUGGAAAGUACUGGAGGGUGGUGUGAUUUUAGGCUGGAGCGUCAGGAAAAGCAGAGAAGAAAUGACUGUUACAGAUGGAAGUGAGUGGAAUGCUCCAAGCAGAGGGAACAGCAAGUGAAAGCGCCCUGUGGUAGAAGCAUAUUUGGCACAUGUGAGGGACUGCAUAAAGGCCAAUGUGGCUGCAUGGGGGUUUGGGAGAUGUAGGGACAAGGUCAGAGAGGUAGCCAAUGUCAGCAUCAUUGCUGUUAGGACUGGGUGGGACCCCAAAAGAAGUAUUAAAUAGUACCAUCUAGUUUUUGUUCUUGAGGAGGUCACGUGUUAAUAUACUGAUUGUUUGAGGUACAACAGAGUCAAAAAGGGGAUAAUUUAUCGAGGUACAAGCCUAGGAUAUGGGUUGCUCCUGUUGCCCCUAAGUCUACCACGCCUGCACAGAUCCUGCUAGUUCUUUCUUUUUUUUUUUGAGACGGAGUCUCGCUCUGUCGCCCAGGCUGGAGUACAGUGGUGCGAUGGCGGCUCACUGCAAGCUCCGCCUUCCGGGUUCACGCCAUUCUCC